rnacentral:lncRNA from 1 species
GGUUCCGCAGACAUCUCACUGUUCAUAUCAAAUUUCUUGCUGUAAUUGACCAGAUUACGUAAAAUUGAAAAUUUUAAAUCAUACUAGACACAAUAAAGAUUAAAAACCCUAAUUAUUGAACUCAUUAUGUUCAAAAUAUGCCUUGAAAUAAAUCAAAUGGCGGAAAAAAAAAAAACCCAAAGUUCUUACCUGUUUUUGUGAACCGAAGCCUUCAAUCUCCAAAAAACUCUAUUUUUCUCAACGAUUAUCACAAAUUAGUAACAAAAGGUUUUGAUUCACAGCUUUAAGAUCAAAAUGCCUACAAAUUUUGAAAGAUUCAUGCCCUAUUUGGCAUGAAAUUUCAGAAAAGGCGGAAACCCUAAACACCGAAUUUUUC